rnacentral:tRNA from 1 species
GGAGGGUUGGCUCGAAUGGUAAGGCAGCGGCAUUAGAAACCGCGGUCUGGUGGUCAAGACACCAGUGCAGGUCCGAAUCCUGUACCCUCCGCCA